UUCUAAUUUUCAAUUUUUCUUUUUAAAAUUACACAUUUGUCUUCCAGAUUUGAAAACACAACCAGUACACUCCAUGAAAACACAAGCCGUACAUUCCAUGGUUUCAGUGUUUGGGAUGUGAAAGGGUCAGUUUAUUAUGAAUGUGUACUUAUGACAUCUGAGACAGAAUUUACGGUUAGUAUUAAUGUGGCACUUCAUUUAGCAUUAAAGCCAAGCAUUAAAAACUAGUGACUAAGAGCAGUAGAUGAGACUGAAGGCUCUUCCUUUCCUAAUGUUAGACUAUAGGUAAGGGAAUAUGUAAUUACCCAGUUACCAUCCACCUACACCCUGUCUGCACUCAAGCUUUGAACUAGCCCUGUUUCCCAGAUUUCAAGGUUAUACUUGAUCUUGGACUUCUUGGAUAACUUAGAUUCUCUUAUUUACACUCAAUGCUUUAUUCAUGCUGAUGUGUUUAGAAUAAGAAUGAAACUUCAUAGUAACAAUGAAGAUAGUCACAUUUGGAAACAAAUUUAUUUGAAUCUGAUUUAAAUUUUAAGAUAUUCUGUAUUUUUUCAAGCUCAAUUUGCACGUCAACUAAUAACCUGCGGCAUGUAAGGGGUGUCAGGCCCAAACCGGCUUUGGCUCAUAUACCUUCUUAAUUUAAUUCAAACUAAAAUUUUUAAGUUUGGGCAGCACUUUUUGUUGUUGUUAUUGUUAUAGCCAAAUUAACAUGGAAGUUAUAUUAGAAUCUUAACAUUUCAAAGCUGAAAAGGGACCCUCCACAGUAGAGCAAAGGGUAAUUAUUGUCCUAACAGAGUGCAUUCUUAGUUUUCUAUGGCCAUAUAUUAAAAGAAAAGUUACAAGACAUGAAAUUACUUGAGAAGUUUAGCUAAUGAGUAUUUGCUAAAAGAGCAUUAGAAGUUGCCAAUUAGAAGGGAAUGUUAACGGUUUGAAUAAAAGACAAAUUUAGAAAAGAAAGCUAAGCACAUUUUCCUAACUUGAAAAUAAUGUGUAUUGUAUGGCUAAAUCAACAAAUUAAUAAGACUUGGGAAAAAAAAAAAUGAAAGCCCCUGUUAAAUAGCAAUGUCAGGAGAAAAAAAAAGGAUAACAAUGUCAGGAAUAAAAUGAGAGGAAUUAUAUAGAAGGAAACAUUGAUAAAUAAGAGUGAAAAAGUUGAGAUUUCUGUUACAUAAAAAAUUUCUUAUAUUUUGAUUUUACCAUUAUCUUUUUAGUACUAGUACUAAUUUUUUUU